UGGGCGGCGUGCCUAAUACAUGCAAGUCGAGCGAACAGACGAGGAGCUUGCUCCUCUGACGUUAGCGGCGGACGGGUGAGUAACACGUGGAUAACCUACCUAUAAGACUGGGAUAACUUCGGGAAACCGGAGCUAAUACCGGAUAAUAUAUUGAACCGCAUGGUUCAAUAGUGAAAGACGGUUUUGCUGUCACUUAUAGAUGGAUCCGCGCCGCAUUAGCUAGUUGGUAAGGUAACGGCUUACCAAGGCAACGAUGCGUAGCCGACCUGAGAGGGUGAUCGGCCACACUGGAACUGAGACACGGUCCAGACUCCUACGGGAGGCAGCAGUAGGGAAUCUUCCGCAAUGGGCGAAAGCCUGACGGAGCAACGCCGCGUGAGUGAUGAAGGUCUUCGGAUCGUAAAACUCUGUUAUUAGGGAAGAACAAAUGUGUAAGUAACUAUGCACGUCUUGACGGUACC
rnacentral:rRNA from 1 species